rnacentral:rRNA from 1 species
AGUGAACGCUGGCGGUAGGCCUAACACAUGCAAGUCGAACGGCAGCACAGUAAGAGCUUGCUCUUACGGGUGGCGAGUGGCGGACGGGUGAGGAAUACAUCGGAUUCUUCUUUUACUUGGGGGAUAACGUAGGGAAACUUACGCUACUACCGCAUACGUCCUACGGGUGAAAUCAGGAGAUCUUCGCACUUUUCCCGUCUGUAUGAGCUGAUGUCGCAUUAGCUAGUUGGCGAGGUAAAGGCCCACCAAGGCGACGAUCCGUAGCUGAUCUGAGAGGAUGAUCAGCCACACUGGAACUGAGACACGGUCCAGACUCCUACGGGAGGCAGCAGUAGGGAAUAUUCGACAAUGGGCGCAAGCCUGAUCCAGCCAUACCGCGUGAGUGAAGAAGGUCUUCGGGUUGUAAAACUCUUUUGUUAGGAAAGAAAAGAAGCAGAUGAAACCCCCGCUGUUCUGACGGUACCCAAAGAGAAAGCACCGGCUAACUUCGUG